GAUGAACGCUGGCGGCGUGCCUAAUACAUGCAAGUCGAGCGAACAGACGAGGAGCUUGCUCCUCUGACGUUAGCGGCAGACGGGUGAGUAACACGUGGAUAACCUACCUAUAAGACUGGGAUAACUUCGGGAAACCGGAGCUAAUACCGGAUAAUAUAUUGAACCGCAUGGUUCAAUAGUGAAAGACGGUUUGCUGUCACUUAUAGAUGGAUCCGCGCCGCAUUAGCUAGUUGGUAAGGUAACGGCUUACCAAGGCGACGAUGCGUAGCCGACCUGAGAGGGUGAUCGGCCACACUGGAACUGAGACACGGUCCAGACUCCUACGGGAGGCAGCAGUAGGGAAUCUUCCGCAAUGGGCGAAAGCCUGACGGAGCAACGCCGCGUGAGUGAUGAAGGUCUUCGGAUCGUAAAACUCUGUUAUUAGGGAAGAACAAAUGUGUAAGUAACUAUGCACGUCUUGACGGUACCUAAUCAGAAAGCCACGGCUAACUACGUG
rnacentral:rRNA from 1 species